rnacentral:rRNA from 1 species
AUACGGAGGAUCCGAGCGUUAUCCGGAUUUAUUGGGUUUAAAGGGUGCGCAGGCGGCCAUUUAAGUCAGCGGUUAAAUCGUGGGGCUCAACCCCAUUCUGCCGUUGAUACUGGGUGGCUUGAUUGCGGUCGAGGUUGGCGGAAUUCGUUGUGUAGCGGUGAAAUGCAUAGAUAUGACGAAGAACACCGAUUGCGUAGGCAGCUGACCAGAUCGCAAAUGACGCUCAUGCACGAAAGUGCGGGGAUCGAACAGGAUUAGAUACCCUGGUAGGCCGCACAGUAAACGAUGAAUACUUGUUUUCGGCGAUAUAAUGUCGGAGGCAAAGCGAAAGCGAUAAGUAUUCCACCUGGGGAGUACGCCGGCAACGGUGAAACUCAAAUGAAUUGACGGGG